AUCUGCCGCGACGUGGACUGCGACCACGGCCUGUGACGUCAGCGCGUCACCCACCGCGUCAUCGCCCGUGUCGUCAUCACCAGCGAGUGACGUCAUCAUAACCGUCAAUAUACAUACACACACAUCAUCUGCGCGCUGAUCCUGUACGUGAUCCUGGGGUACAUCUGCCGCGACGUGGACUGCGACCACGGCCUGUGACGUCAGCGCGUCACCCACCGCGUCAUCGCCCGUGUCGUCAUCACCAGCGAGUGACGUCAUCAUAACCGUCAAUAUACAUACACACACAUCAUCUGCGCGCUGAUCCUGUACGUGAUCCUGGGGUACAUCUGCCGCGACGUGGACUGCGACCACGGCCUGUGACGUCAGCGCGUCACCCACCGCGUCAUCGCCCGUGUCGUCAUCACCAGCGAGUGACGUCAUCAUAACCGUCAAUAUACAUACACACACAUCAUCUGCGCGCUGAUCCUGUACGUGAUCCUGGGGUACAUCUGCCGCGACGUGGACUGCGACCACGGCCUGUGACGUCAGCGCGUCGCCCACCGCGUCAUCGCCCGCGUCGUCAUCCCCAGCGAGUGACGUCAUCGCCACCGUCACUAUAUAUAUACGCACAUAGACCAUCCGCCCCUGUACGUGAGCCUGGGGUUCAUCUGCCGCGACGUGGACGGCGCCCACGGCCUGUGACGUCGGCGCGUCACCCACCGCGUCAUCGCCCGCGUCGUCAUCCCCAGCGAGUGACGUCAUCGCCACCGUCACUAUAUAUAUACGCACAUAGACCAUCCGCCCCUGUACGUGAUCCUGGGGUUCAUCUGCCGCGACGUGGACUGCGACCACGGGCUCUGACGUCAGCGCGUCACCCACCGCGUCAUCUCCCGUGUCGUCAUCACCAGCGAGUGACGUCAUCGCCACCGUCAAUAUAUAUAUAUAUGCACACACAGACCAUCCGCCCACUGAUCCUGUAUGUGAUCCUGUGGUUCAUCUGCCGCGACGUGGACUGCGACCACGGGCCGCAACGUCAGUGCGUGACGUUGACGUCAUCACCAGUGUCGUCAUCGUGUCGUCAUCACAUCAUCACCGUAUAUAUGCACACAUAGAUCAUCUUAAUGCUGUACGUGAUCCUGUGCUUCAUCUGCCACGACGUGGAGUGCGACCACAGGCUGUGACGUCAGCGCGUCAUCCACCGCGUCAUCACCCGUGUCGUCAUCACCAGUGAGUGACGUCAUCAUCAAUAUAUAUACACACAUAGAUCAUCCGCCUGCUGAUCCUGUACGUGAUCCUGUGCUUCAUCUGCCGCGACGUGGACUGCGACCACGGGCUGUGACGUCAGCGCGNNNNNNNNNNNNNNNNNNNNNNNNNNNNNNNNNNNNNNNNNNNNNNNNNNNNNNNNNNNNNNNNNNNNNNNNNNAUCCGCCCGCUGUACGUGACCCUGUGGUUCAUCGGCCUCUGACGUCAGGACGUCAUCCAUCGCGUCAUCCGUCAGUGAGUGACGUCAUCAUCAAAACAUCACCGUAUAUGUACACACAUAGAUCAUCCGCCCCCUGGUCCUGUACGUGAUCCUGUUAUACAUUUGCCGCGACGUCGACUGUGACCACCGGCUGUGAGGUCAGCGCGCGAGGGUGACGUCAUUAUCCGUGUCGUCAUCAUCAGUGAGUGACGUCGUCAUACAUAAAUAUGCAUAGAUACAGAUCAUCCGCCUGCUGUAUGUGACCCUGUGGUUCAUCUGACUCAACGUCGACUGUGAGACGUCGACUGCGACCCCGGCCUCUGACGUCACGACGUCAGCCAGUGACGUCAUCCGUCAGUGACGUCAUCGUCACAUCAAUAUAGAUAUAGAUCAUCCGCCCACUGACCCUGUGGUUCAUCUACUGUGACCUGCACUGCUCUGUCGUCAUGACGUAACACGCUACGUCAUCUCACGUCAUCAUCAGACUCAGAUCUACCGCGACCUGUCAUUUGGCGUCAGUGGGACACGGCUGCCGCAUCCCAGUGACGUCAUCAGUAACGUCGCUCAUCUGCUGUGACGCUGACUGACACCGCAACCUGUGACACCAUCACGGACGAGGGCAGCGAGGGCGUCUGUGACGUCAGAGAGUGACAGUCCAGGUCGGUGUCCCGCAGAGAGUGUGACGUCAGACAACAGUCCCGCCCCGCCGUGGGGUCUCCGACACACACGUGGGAGGUCAGAGUGACCCCAGGGUGACGUCAGCGCAGAGCGACCACCGAGUGACCCCAGAGUGACUUCAGCACAGAGUGAUCCCAGAGUGACGUCAGCACAGAGUGACCCCAGAGUGACGUCAGGGAAGAGGGACCCCAGAGUGACCCCAGAGUGACGUCAGCGAUACCCCGUACCGACCGCGAGCCCAGGACCUGACGUACAGGUGAGUGACCAGGUGACGCAGGCAGAGUUAUGCAAAUGAGUUUGGGUGACCUCAACGUGACCCCUGACGUCACCCUCGAGGCCACCUGGACCCCUCCCUGGAGGCGACCCCCUACCUCAGCUCCUACGUCAGCAGUGCGGGCAGCUGGUUCCUGCGGAGCCAUCAUAAUUCAUGCAAAUUCAUGCAAAUUUAUGCAGAUUUAUGAAAAUUAACGCUGACGAGGGUGAUCUGAGCUGCGGAGACGAUGAACGCAAAUCUCCGCGGCUCCCGCUCGCUCCUCACUGAGCGCAGUGACCUCACGUGACCUCAUGCGACCUCACGUGACCCCUCGAAGGGCAGCAGCGUUCUGCUAAUUAAGAACUCAUUAUGCUCAUUCAUGCUGAUUCCCAUUAACUGGAUGACGUCAUUGGGGUGGGAACAGUGCCCAGCAUGACCUUGCGGCGACCCCCGGGUGACAACUGUGACGUCACCACCCUCCUCCUCCACCCCCGCCAGGUGACCCCGGUGACAUCAUCGCGACCCUGAGAUGGGUGGCGGAGACCCCGUGUGACCCCCGUGUGACAUCACCGAGACCCCAGCGACGUCAGCACUAAUCCCGGAGCCCAGGUGAGGGUGCGAAUGGGCGCCGUGACCCCUCUGACCUUGUGACGUCACAGGGCACUGCGGAUCCUCAUUGGCGUAAUAUGCUGACGCAUUUGCAUAUCCGUUACCCCAGCGGCCGGGGUGGCUUCCGGUCUCUUUUACAUGUCAUUUGCAUGGCUCCUCCCCCAGGGUCCGCCAGGCAUCCCGGUCAUUUGCAUACGAUUUAAACGCUGUCAUUUUAACCCAAAGGGAACGCGGAGCCGCCUCAUUUGCAUGUCCCCGCCCCCGU
rnacentral:lncRNA from 1 species